rnacentral:rRNA from 1 species
AUUGAACGCUGGCGGCAGGCCUAACACAUGCAAGUCGAGCGGAUGAAGGGAGCUUGCUUCUUGAUUCAGCGGCGGACGGGUGAGUAAUGCCUAGGAAUCUGCCUGUUAGUGGGGGAUAACGUCCGGAAACGGGCGCUAAUACCGCAUACGUCCUGAGGGAGUAAGUGUGGGAUCUUCGGACCUCACGCUAUCAGAUGAGCCUAGGUCGGAUUAGCUAGUUGGUGGGGUAAAGGCCUACCAAGGCGACGAUCCGUAACUGGUCUGAGAGGAUGAUCAGUCACACUGGAACUGAGACACGGUCCAGACUCCUACGGGAGGCAGCAGUGGGGAAUAUUGGACAAUGGGCGAAAGCCUGAUCCAGCCAUGCCGCGUGUGUGAAGAAGGUCUUCGGAUUGUAAAGCACUUUAAGUUGGGAGGAAGGGCAGUAAGUUAAUACCUUGCUGUUUUGACGUUACCAACAGAAUAAGCACCGGCUAACUUCGUG